UUCCAGACUCCUACGGGAGGCAGCAGUAGGGAAUUUUGCGCAAUGGGGGAAACCCUGACGCAGCAACGCCGCGUGAUCGAUGAAGCCCUUCGGGGUGUAAAGAUCUGUCAGUGGGGACGAAACCUGACGGUACCCACAGAGGAAGCACCGGCUAACUCCGUGCCAGCAGCCGCGGUAAUACGGGGGGUGCAAGCGUUGUCCGGAAUCAUUGGGCGUAAAGCGUUCGUAGGCGGUAUGUCAAGUCUGAUGUUAAAGCCCGGGGCUCAACUCCGGUUCGGCAUUGGAUACUGGCAAACUAGAAUGUGGUAGAGGUAAAGGGAAUUCCUGGUGUAGCGGUGAAAUGCGUAGAUAUCAGGAGGAACAUCGGUGGCGAAAGCGCUUUACUGGACCAUUAUUGACGCUGAGGAACGAAAGCCAGGGGAGCAAAUGGGAUUAGAUACCCCAGUA
rnacentral:rRNA from 1 species